CCCGCGUCCGGGCCUCGGAGCCCAAUCCCAGGGCAGCCCCCUGGACCCCCAGAGCAGGCUCUGGCCGGGCCAAGGCCGCCUGGCCUCUGGCUAGCCCCGUCCCCAGCCUGGACUGUCUCCCUGGUAGUCCUGGGGAGGGGGCGAACUGGAAAGGUGCGGGGCGCUUCCCAGCCUGGAGGUCCGCGUGGGGGAGCCGUUGGGAACAGCUCAGGUCGAGAUUGGCCGCCUGGGCGGUGGGGGUGGUGGGGAAGGAGCCCUGCCCCGAGCGCCUUGGCUUACUUGGUGCCCCUGACCGCCUGAGGGCAGGAACCCUGCCCAGAAUGGCCACUCUCUCUGGGCUCAGAAGCCCCUCUUCCAAGAAGCCUUCCAGGGAAGAUUGAUAUUGGAGAGGCCUUGCAAGCCAGUGUCUCCGGGUAGAGAAGAGCUGGUGAGGGGAUGCCAGUUUUCAGGCUUUGGGGCUCACCAAGGCCCAACUAGUCACCCAUCCCAAGCUGGUGAGGCCAGUGAGAAUCCAGCUUCCCAGCCCAGCGUCCUCAACCCCAUCUGUCUCUGGGCCAGUGUGGGCAUCUCUAGAUGGAGGGAGGUGAGCAGGGCCCAUCCCCCAUCCUACCCUCCUUGGCUCAACGUGCCCACUCUGCACCCUGGCCAAGGUCAGGGCAUGGGCUGAGUGGCCCUCUCUGGGCUGCAAAACACCAGGUGGCCACGGCUGAGGCCUGACACAGCAGCAGCCAGAAGAGAAGGCCUCGGCCACCUGAGGACUGUCCAGCUGGGGCCAGGGGUCACAGACAAGUGCUUCAGAGCAAAACGAACAGGAGCCAAGGACAGGCGCCCCGUCUUGGACUCCCACUACCACUCCGCGACAGUUGACCAGAGUGUGCAACCAGACGGCCUGGGUGCAAGUUCUGCCCUUUAAAACUGAAACCUCUGUGUCUCAGCACCUCAUCCACAACACCUGCAGGAUUGCCCAGCACAGGAAAUGUUAAAGGAUGUUCUUCAAGCAAAAGAAAGAUAAUACCAGAUGGAAACCUGAAUCUACAUUAAGAAAUGAAGAGCACCAGAAAUGGUAACUACAUAAAUAAAGAAUGUUUUUCUGGCUGGAUGUGGUGGCUCAUGCCUGUAAUCCCAGC